AGUCAUUACUGAUCAGGUUCUUUGUAUUCACAAAUCCCAAACCAGGAGGAAAUUAAUUCUAACAACAUUCUGUUGUAUCAAGAAGAAAGCCAUCUAAAGCAAUAUGCUUCAAAUCAAUAAUUGUUACGAAGAAACCAAAUCCAAAC